rnacentral:rRNA from 1 species
CGAGGGCUUAACUGUCUCCCUUUUCAAGUCAGUGAAAUUGAUCUGCCCGUGCAGAAGCGGACAUAACCAUACAAGACGAGAAGACCCUAUGGAGCUUAAGGCAUAAAAUUCAACCACGUCAAAUAACUCUAUAAAAAGCUAUUAAACCUUAUGGUAAAUGAAAUCAUGCCUUCGGUUGGGGCGACCAUGGAGGAAAGAAAAGCCUCCAAGUGGACUGGGAUAUAUUCCUAAAACCAAGAAAGACAUUUCUAAGCCACAGAACAUCUGACCAAUAAUGAUCCGGCUUAUGCAGCCGAUCAACGAACCAAGUUACCCAAGGGAUAACAGCGCAAUCCUCUCCCAGAGUCCAUAUCGACGAGGGGGUUUACGACCUCGAUGUUGGAUCAGGACAUCCUAAUGGUGCAGCC